rnacentral:rRNA from 1 species
UACGUAGGGUGCAAGCGUUGUCCGGAAUUAUUGGGCGUAAAGAGCUCGUAGGCGGUUUGUUGCGUCGGCCGUGAAAACCUGCAGCUUAACUGUGGGCCUGCGGCCGAUACGGGCAGACUUGAGUUCGGUAGGGGAGACUGGAAUUCCUGGUGUAGCGGUGAAAUGCGCAGAUAUCAGGAGGAACACCGGUGGCGAAGGCGGUUCUCUGGGCAUUACCUGACGCUGAGGAGCGAAAGUGUGGGGAGCGAACAGG